rnacentral:rRNA from 1 species
GAUGAACGCUGGCGGCGUGCCUAAUACAUGCAAGUCGAGCGAACGGACGAGAAGCUUGCUUCUCUGCUGUUAGCGGCGGACGGGUGAGUAACACGUGGAUCACCUACCUAUAAGACUGGGAUAACUUCGGGAAACCGCUGCUAAUACCGGAUGAUAUUUUGAACCGCAUGGUUCAAAAGUUCAAGACAGUCUUGCUGUCACUUAUAGCUGGAUCCGCGUUGCAUUAGCUAGUUGGUAAGGUAACGGCUUACCAAGGCAACGAUGCAUAGCCGACCUGAGAGGGUGAUCGGCCACACUGGAACUGAGACACGGUCCAGACUCCUACGGGAGGCAGCAGUAGGGAAUCUUGCGCAAUGGGCGAAAGCCUGACGGAGCAACGCCGCGUGAGUGAUGAAGGUCUUCGGAUCGUAAAACUCUGUUAUUAGGGAAGAACAGAUGUGGAAGUAACUGUGGAUAUCUUGACGGUACCUAAAGAGAAAGCAACGGCUAACUACGUG